UGGGGAAUUUUGGACAAUGGGCGCAAGCCUGAUCCAGCAAUGCCGCGUGCAGGAUGAAGGCCUUCGGGUUGUAAACUGCUUUUGUACGGAGCGAAAAGGUCUGCCCUAAUACGGUGGGCUCAUGACGGUACCGUAAGAAUAAGCACUGGCUAACUACGUGCCAGCAGCCGCGGUAAUACGUAGGGUGCGAGCGUUAAUCGGAAUUACUGGGCGUAAAGCGUGCGCAGGCGGCUUUGUAAGACAGAGGUGAAAUCCCCGGGCUCAACCUGGGAAUUGCCUUAGUGACUGCAAGGCUUGAGUGCGGCAGAGGGGGAUGGAAUUCCGCGUGUAGCAGUGAAAUGCGUAGAUAUGCGGAGGAACACCGGUGGCGAAGGCAAUCCCCUGGGCCUGUACUGACGCUCAUGCACGAAAGCGUGGGGAGCAAACA
rnacentral:rRNA from 1 species